GAGUUUGAUCAUGGCUCAGAUUGAACGCUGGCGGCAGGCCUAACACAUGCAAGUCGAACGGUAACAGGUAACAGCUUGCUGUUUCGCUGACGAGUGGCGGACGGGUGAGUAAUGUCUGGGAAGCUGCCUGAUGGAGGGGGAUAACUACUGGAAACGGUAGCUAAUACCGCAUAACGUCGCAAGACCAAAGAGGGGGACCUUCGGGCCUCUUGCCAUCAGAUGUGCCCAGAUGGGAUUAGCUAGUAGGUGGGGUAACGGCUCACCUAGGCGACGAUCCCUAGCUGGUCUGAGAGGAUGACCAGCCACACUGGAACUGAGACACGGUCCAGACCCCUACGGGAGGCAGCAGUGGGGAAUAUUGCACAAUGGGCGCAAGCCUGAUGCAGCCAUGCCGCGUGUAUGAAGAAGGCCUUCGGGUUGUAAAGUACUUUCAGCGGGGAGGAAGGGAGUAAAGUUAAUACCUUUGCUCAUUGACGUUACCCGCAGAAGAAGCACCGGCUAACUCCGUGCCAGCAGCCGCGGUAAUACGGAGGGUGCAAGCGUUAAUCGGAAUUACUGGGCGUAAAGCGCACGCAGGCGGUUUGUUAAGUCAGAUGUGAAAUCCCCGGGCUCAACCUGGGAACUGCAUCUGAUACUGGCAAGCUUGAGUCUCGUAGAGGGGGGUAGAAUUCCAGGUGUAGCGGUGAAAUGCGUAGAGAUCUGGAGGAAUACCGGUGGCGAAGGCGGCCCCCUGGACGAAGACUGACGCUCAGGUGCGAAAGCGUGGGGAGCAAACAGGAUUAGAUACCCUGGUAGUCCACGCCGUAAACGAUGUCGACUUGGAGGUUGUGCCCUUGAGGCGUGGCUUCCGGAGCUAACGCGUUAAGUCGACCGCCUGGGGAGAACGGCCGCAAGGUUAAAACUCAAAUGAAUUGACGGGGGCCCGCACAAGCGGUGGAGCAUGUUUAAUUCGAUGCAACGCGAAGAACCUUACCUGGUCUUGACAUCCACGGAAGUUUUCAGAGAUGAGAAUGUGCCUUCGGGAACCGUGAGACAGGUGCUGCAUGGCUGUCGUCAGCUCGUGUUGUGAAAUGUUGGGUUAAGUCCCGCAACGAGUGCAACCCUUAUCCUUUGUUGCCAGCGGUCCGGCCGGGAACUCAAAGGAGACUGCCAGUGAUAAACUGGAGGAAGGUGGGGAUGACGUCAAGUCAUCAUGGCCCUUACGACCAGGGCUACACACGUGCUACAAUGGCGCAUACAAAGAGAAGCGACCUCGCGAGAGCAAGCGGACCUCAUAAAGUGCGUCGUAGUCCGGAUUGGAGUCUGCAACUCGACUCCAUGAAGUCGGAAUCGCUAGUAAUCGUGGAUCAGAAUGCCACGGUGAAUACGUUCCCGGGCCUUGUACACACCGCCCGUCACACCAUGGGAGUGGGUUGCAAAAGAAGUAGGUAGCUUAACCUUCGGGAGGGCGCUUACCACUUUGUGAUUCAUGACUGGGGUGAAGUCGUAACAAGGUAACCGUAGGGGAACCUGCGGUUG
rnacentral:rRNA from 1 species